rfam:Triticum aestivum genome assembly, contig: Triticum_aestivum_CS42_TGACv1_scaffold_158142_2DL
GUCUUAUCAGGUGUUCCCUGCAAACACUUCACGAGGCAUUAUUCAAAAUGCAAAUGUGAAGUGUUUGGGGGAACUCUUGAUGAUGC